UACGAAGGGUGCUAGCGUUGUUCGGAAUCACUGGGCGUAAAGCGCACGUAGGCGGAUGUGUCAGUCAGGGGUGAAAUCCCGGAGCUCAACUUCGGAACUGCCUUUGAUACAGCACGUCUUGAGUCCGAUAGAGGUGGGUGGAAUUCCUAGUGUAGAGGUGAAAUUCGUAGAUAUUAGGAAGAACACCGGUGGCGAAGGCGGCCCACUGGAUCGGUACUGACGCUGAGGUGCGAAAGCGUGGGGAGCAAACAGG
rnacentral:rRNA from 1 species